GUAGCGGCGAGCGAAACGGGAAAAGCCCAAACCAACAAGCUUGCUUGUUGGGGUUGUAGGACUCCGAUAUGGUAGUCCAUUCAGAUAGUCGAAAUACUUGGAAAAGUAUGUCAAAGAGGGUAAAAACCCCGUAGACGAAAUUUGGAUGACACCUAGGAGGAUCCUGAGUACGGCGGAACACGAGGAAUUCCGUCGGAAUCCGGGAGGACCAUCUCCCAAGGCUAAAUACUCCCUAGUGACCGAUAGUGAACCAGUACCGUGAGGGAAAGGUGAAAAGCACCCCGGAAGGGGAGUGAAAUAGAUCCUGAAACCGUGUGCCUACAACAAGCUAGAGCCCGUUAAUGGGUGAUAGCGUGCCUUUUGUAGAAUGAACCGGCGAGUUACGAUAGCAUGCGAGGUUAAGUUGAAGAGACGGAGCCGUAGCGAAAGCGAGUCUGAAUAGGGCGAUUGAGUAUGUUGUCGUAGACCCGAAACCAUGUGAUCUACCCAUGUCCAGGUUGAAGGUGCGGUAAAACGCACUGGAGGACCGAACCCACGUACGUUGAAAAGUGCGGGGAUGAGGUGUGGGUAGCGGAGAAAUUCCAAACGAACUUGGAGAUAGC
rnacentral:rRNA from 1 species